GGAGACUGGGGUCUUACUCCAGCAGAGACCAGACCCAGCAGAAGUCUGAGUUUAGAGAGUUUUUAGUGGGUAAAAGUAACGAGAGUUUACACACUGUUUUACACACAUUCUUUAUUCAGGACAGGCGUGUUCCCUACCCCGUGUAAAUGUGUGUGUGUGAGAGAGAGCUCUGAGCUUCAGGGAUGCCCUUCCUCUCUCUCUCCGCUUGUCGAGCCUCAUUAAUAGAUUCUCAGUACAGUACAUAGGAAAUGAGUCAGAGGAGCUCAGAGCCCAGUGCGUGGGUGUGGGCGCUAUUAAAACAAGGCCGAGACUCACGGUGACUCAUUCACAUGCUCGGCCCUCUCCGCAGCUCAAAAACAGCGAGCCAGCUGCGGUUCUUUAUCUCCUCCACACUGUUUUACACGCAGGAUCUCAGCGCCAUGGACCUCCACUCCGCGUGUCGGCUCCUGUGUUUAGUCCUCGUGGCCGGGACUCAUUUAAGCGGAGGAAUACACGCGGAGAAAAACCCAUCCUGUCAAUACCAAGAGUUUUACAACAAUGAUCUUGGAGAAUGUAUACCCUGCUCUAUAUGCAUAAAAUAUCCCAAAACCCCAUCAUGUGACACAUGCCCAGCCGUAGUGCCUUCAGACCCUUGGAGGUUGGCAGCCAUCACCAGUUUUUCAGUGCUUGCAGCUUUGGUUGUUUUUGGAUCAUUGCUAAUAGGAGUUCUAGUUCAUCAAUGCAGGUCCAGAAGGACUUUACGUGAGCCAAUUGAGGAAACUACAGGACCACUUUAUCCAGUGUAGGAGCAGCACUAACAAAAUCUGAUGGAACAGAAGAAGACCAGACAACCAAGUUAGUUCAGUCAGUGAAGAGCUGGCUGAUACAUUGAGUGUUCUUUGAGCAUGUAACUCUUCUAAUUUAUUUUGUUGGUAGAUCAAGCUAGAGGUGUUUAAUGCACUCCGGAGUAAGCCUGUCGCACUGUCCCCAUGCUCUCAAAAGCUGCACUGAGACCUCCUCAUUCACUGUGCAGAAGGUGUGAGCAGAGUAGAGGUGCUAUAUGAGUAUUAUCCUCUUCAUGACAGCGAUUGGGUUCCCGAAAAUAGGUCAAUGGAUUGCUUCUGAGCUUCGAGUCGACUUUCUACGGUCACUUUUCUGACAGGCAUUACCCUUUUAGGUGUUACAAUGAGGACCUUUGCUUUUUUUUUUUUUUUUUAUAUCUUUUUAAAACCCCUAUGCACUUAUUUUUAUAGAUGUCCUUUUGUAGAUUUCUUUGUUUUUUAUUUAUAGAGAUUUACCAGUGAAAACUGCCUUAACGUGCCAGGAGAAUAGUGUUUAUGAACAAGGGCUGUACGUUACACAGCAAUACAUUUUGUACAAUAACUAUUUACCUCCAUGUUAGAUUUAUUCUGCCUUAUGGCAUAUUGAAUGUAUUGUGUAACCAAUGUUUUCUAGAUCUGUGAUCUGUUUUAUAUUUGAGUACUAUGCACUGUUACUUAUUGUAGUAUCAACAAUGUUCUGAGACUGACUGGCAAGACCUAUGCCCGUCUAUGGUAUUAAAGUUGUAGGACAGUUCACACUCUACAAGGAUGCCAGUGGGAAAAAAAACAUGAAUCUGAUUAAGACUGCCACAGGUGCAAUUAGCCAGUUAAAGAGGUGGAUGUGGCCACAGAAACGUCUAAAAUCCACUGAAUUCCUAAUAAAGACAUCCUACAGUUCAUGUUUCAA